CCAGGUGGAGAUCGACGGACAGAAGUUUCAGGGAACCGGAUCCAAUAAAAAGGUGGCGAAGGCCUACGCAGCACUUGCAGCCCUGGAGAAGCUCUUCCCAGAAGGCUCCAACUCGGAGGCAAACAAGAAGAAUAAAAUGCCUCCAAUGCACCCCGCUGGAUUUGGGAUGGUGAGUGGGCCGCCUGCUGACAUGGC